rnacentral:rRNA from 1 species
CUUUGAAGAGAGAGUUCAAGAGUACGUGAAACCGCUCAGGGGUAAACGGAAAAGACCCGAAACACCGAAACGAGAGAUUCACGUCUUCUCGCAGGAGCAGGCCUCCGUUUGGGGGAUGGCCUAACGCCCCGUCCGGCUCGUCCGUGACGGUGGGUAGGCUGCCCCCUGCGGGGUGCCCUGCUUCUCGGGGGCCCGCAAUUCUCUCGCAGUAGGACGUCG